UUUGUGAGGUUGGUAACUGGUCUAGAUGGUUGAAUGACCUAUUUGACAUGGAUGAUAAUGACUCACUUGAAGAUAAACAAUGAUAGAAAAAAAUAAGUCCUUCAAAUUCUUCAAUCUUCUUAAUGCACUAAGUGACCUUCUUAAUGCAUCCUCUUCAUCUAGUUGCUAACUUGCUAAAGAUGUUGAAGAUGGAAAGGAGUAUGUCAACAUUUUCCCCUGCAUUGCAGCUUCUCAGUAUGUCUUAGACCAAAACCUUAAGGCAAUGGUUUCAUAUGUCUUCUCUAUUUACGAACUCUUUCAUUCAUCCUCAUAUCUAAUGUGUGACUUCACACUUGAAUAUACCAAACCAUUUCAAUAACUACAACCUUCACUGCUCAAAUUCCAUUCCUGAGUCAUUUCUUUCCUUGUUAAAGAAGUCAGACUUGGUUAUGAUGCAAUUGGAUACUCUUUUCAAAUACAACAAAUUGUUUUGUUUUCAUAUUCACCUUUUACCACUGUUGUGAUAACCGGACCGGACCGAACGGUCCGACCGGUUCGAUCGCUGACCGGACUUGAAAACGGUUCCGUUUUGUAGUCUUAACCGAAUGAGUAGUUGGACCGCUUUGAACCGGAGAAAUUCUGGUUCGACCAUGCUAAACCCGGUUAAACCGGAAU